rnacentral:rRNA from 1 species
UCUGCAACUCGACUGCACGAAGCUGGAAUCGCUAGUAAUCGCGGAUCAGCACGCCGCGGUGAAUACGUUCCCGGGCCUUGUACACACCGCCCGUCACACCAUGGAAGUCUGCAAUGCCCGAAGCCGGUGGCCUAACCACUUAUGUGGAAGGAGCCGUCUAAGGCAGGGCAGAUGACUGGGGUGAAGUCGUAACAAGGUAUC